UCAAGAUAAGAUUUCCCACCGCAAGGGUAAGACCCCAGAAAGACUAUCUGGUUGAUAGGUCGAAGGUGUAAGUGCAGCAAUGUAUUUAGUUUAUCGAUGUAUUGAGC
rnacentral:rRNA from 1 species